rnacentral:rRNA from 1 species
CAGCAGCCGCGGGAAAACGGAGGGUGCAAGCGUUAUCCGGAUUUAUUGGGUUUAAAGGGUCCGUAGGCGGACUUAUAAGUCAGUGGUGAAAGCCUGUCGCUUAACGAUAGAACUGCCAUUGAUACUGUAAGUCUUGAGUAUAUUUGAGGUAGCUGGAAUAAGUAGUGUAGCGGUGAAAUGCAUAGAUAUUACUUAGAACACCAAUUGCGAAGGCAGGUUACCAAGAUAUAACUGACGCUGAGGGACGAAAGCGUGGGUAGCGAACAGGAUUAGAGACCCCGGUAGUCCCUGUCUCUUAUAC